GACGGGGGAUGCAAGCGUUAUCCGGAAUCACUGUGCGUAAAGCGUCUGUAGGUGGUGAUGCAAGUCACUGGUGCAAAACUCUGGCUCAACCGGAGGAAAGCCAGUGAAACUGCAUGACUAUAGUGUGGGAGAGGUAGAAGGAAUUCCCUGAGUAGCGGUGAAAUGCGUAGAUACAGGGAAGAACACCGGAGGCGAAAGCGUUCUACUGGGACACAACUGUCACUGAGAGGCGAAAGCUAGGGGAGCGAAUGGG
rnacentral:rRNA from 1 species